ACACUUGAAGGAGGAAAGAGGGAGGGAGGAGAGAGGGUGGCAAGAGAGAGAAAGAAACAAAGACACAUGCAUACUAUUACCUACCUGUGAAACGGAGGUACAGUAUUACUCACCAUAGAUCAACGACUAACCAACGACUGACUAGCAACGCAUGCUAGGCUUAGAUUGUUAUCGCUGGGUAUCGUUAAAGCAUGUGCUAAAAUUGUUUCAAUGACGCAUGUUGCUAUGUCAGCAACACAACACAGGAGCUACACAGGAAUUAGAGUGUAAUAUAUUGCAUAGUAAUUGACACUUGCAUGACUAGAACAGUAAAUGUGACUGCCUGGAUGAUUCAGUCAAUUGCUAGCUAUUGAGUCAUUCUUUUGUGUUCUUAUAUGUAAUACACACAUUGAGUUUACCAGCGGUGCCUAUUACACUGGUAGCAGAGGGUGGUUGUGUCGAUGAGCGUAUCAUGGCAGAGUAUCACGUUAGUGUUCCUGUAAUGUUUUCUUCAGGAGAUGUAUGCAAAUGGUUUCUAAGGUUCAAAAUAUGCAGUGAGGCUCUUGCAGCAUGGGUGGAAUUGUCAGAAGAUGUUCAAGAAAUUAUGAUGCUACGAAACAGCACCUCCUUAGGUCGAAGGCUGUAGAGUUGGUAUCUUUGGACAGGUUUCACUGAUGCGUGUUACAGCCGAAGGAAUCGCCUGUAUAGCUGCAUAGUGUUGCCAUUAUUGUGGGAAAUCAAGCGUUAAAGUACUGGUUGUCUGAACUCAGAUGGUCUGUUGUAGAUGUAGGAUUUACUUCAGUACAUGACACAACGAUAAUGAAAAAUUGCAUUAAUGAAACUUU